CACACACACACCUGACACAAACACACACCUGACACACACACAGGGAAUAAACUCUGAUACACACACCUCUCACACACACACCUCUCACACACACACCUGACACACACACACACACACAGGGAAUAAACUCCUGCUGUCAUGUUUAUUUAAAUGGAAGAUCAACCAAAUGAAGGUUGGUUUGUACCACAAUAAUUAACCGAUGAUAUCAGGCCGCUCUGGGCCGUGAUUACAGACAGGGUAGACUAGUGGUUAGAGCGUUGGACUAGUAACCAGCAGGUAGACUAGUGGUUAGAGCGUUGGACUAGUAACCAGCAGGUAGCCUAGUGGUUAGAGCGUUGGACUAGUAACCAGCAGGUAGCCUAGUGGUUAGAGCGUUGGACUAGUAACCAGCAGGUAGACUAGUGGUUAGAGCGUUGGACUAGUAACCAGCAGGUAGCCUAGUGGUUAGAGCGUUGGACUAGUAACCAGCAGGUAGACUAGUGGUUAGAGCGUUGGACUAGUAACCAGCAGGUAGCCUAGUGGUUAGAGCGUUGGACUAGUAACCAGCAGGUAGACUAGUGGUCAGAGCGUUGGACUAGUAACCAGCAGGUAGCCUAGUGGUUAGAGCGUUGGACUAGUAACCAGCAGGUAGCCUAGUGGUUAGAGCGUUGGACUAGUAACCAGCAGGUAGCCUAGUGGUCAGAGCGUUGGACUAGUAACCAGCAGGUAGCCUAGUGGUCAGAGCGUUGGACUAGUAACCAGCAGGUAGCCUAGUGGUUAGAGCGUUGGACUAGUAACCAGCAGGUAGCCUAGUGGUUAGAGCGUUGGACUAGUAACCAGCAGGUAGCCUAGUGGUUAGAGCGUUGGACUAGUAACCAGCAGGUAGCCUAGUGGUUAGAGCGUUGGACUAGUAACCAGCAGGUAGCCUAGUGGUUAGAGCGUUGGACUAGUAACCAGCAGGUAGCCUAGUGGUUAGAGCGUUGGACUAGUAACCAGCAGGUAGCCUAGUGGUCAGAGCGUUGGACUAGUAACCAGCAGGUAGCCUAGUGGUCAGAGCGUUGGACUAGUAACCAGCAGGUAGCCUAGUGGUUAGAGCGUUGGACUAGUAACCAGCAGGUAGCCUAGUGGUUAGAGCGUUGGACUAGUAACCAGCAGGUAGCCUAGUGGUUAGAGCGUUGGACUAGUAACCAGCAGGUAGCCUAGUGGUUAGAGCGUUGGACUAGUAACCAGCAGGUAGCCUAGUGGUUAGAGCGUUGGACUAGUAACCAGCAGGUAGCCUAGUGGUCAGAGCGUUGGACUAGUAACCAGCAGGUAGCCUAGUGGUCAGAGCGUUGGACUAGUAACCAGCAGGUAGACUAGUGGUUAGAGCGUUGGACUAGUAACCAGCAGGUAGCCUAGUGGUCAGAGCGUUGGACUAGUAACCGACAGACACCUGCGUCUUUUGACACGACGUAAACAAGUCAUCUUGAUGAAGACAGCAGUGUUUGUGAUUACACCCUGAUGAAGACAGCAGUGUUUGUGAUUACACCCUGAUGAAGACAGCAGUGUUUGUGAUUACACCCUGAUGAAGACAGCAGUGUUUGUGAUUACACCCUGAUGAAGACAGCAGUGUUUGUGAUUACACCCUGAUGAAGACAGCAGUGUUUGUGAUUACACCCUGAUGAAGACAGCAGUGUCUGUGAUUACACCCUGAUGAAGACAGCAGUGUUUGUGAUUACACCCUGAUGAAGACAGCAGUGUUUGUGAUUACACCCUGAUGAAGACAGCAGUGUUUGUGAUUACACCCUGAUGAAGACAGCAGUGUUUGUGAUUACACCCUGAUGAAGACAGCAGUGUUUGUGAUUACACCCUGAUGAAGACAGCAGUGUUUGUGAUUACACCCUGAUGAAGACAGCAGUGUUUGUGAUUACACCCUGAUGAAGACAGCAGUGUCUGUGAUUACACCCUGAUGAAGACAGCAGUGUCUGUGAUUACACCCUGAUGAAGACAGCAGUGUCUGUGAUUACACCCUGAUGAAGACAGCAGUGUUUGUGAUU